AUUGAACGCUGGCGGCAGGCCUAACACAUGCAAGUCGAGCGGAUGAAGGGAGCUUGCUCCUGGAUUCGCCGGCGGCCGGUGGGGAAAUGCCUAGAAAUUGGCCGGGAAGGGGGGGAAAACGUCCGAAAACGGGCGCUAAUACGGCUUAGGUCCGUGGGGAGAAAUUGGGGGAUCUUCGGCCUUCACGCUAUCAGAGGAGCCUAGGUCGGAUUAGCUAGUUGGUGGGGUAAAGGCCUACCAAGGCGACGAUCCGUAACUGGUCUGAGAGGAUGAUCAGUCACACUGGAACUGAGACACGGUCCAGACUCCUACGGGAGGCAGCAGUGGGGAAUAUUGGACAAUGGGCGAAAGCCUGAUCCAGCCAUGCCGCGUGUGUGAAGAAGGUCUUCGGAUUGUAAAGCACUUUAAGUUGGGAGGAAGGGCAGUAAGUUAAUACCUUGCUGUUUUGACGUUACCAACAGAAUAAGCACCGGCUAACUUCGUG
rnacentral:rRNA from 1 species